AUGCAACAGACUGCAGGUCCCUUUGAAUCACACAUACUACGCACCCUCCAAGGAUCCCCCAGCAACUCCCAGGUCAGCUUUACAAAGCCCCUCCCCCCGGCCCACAGACAAAAUAAAACCUCCUCAUUCUCCCUUCCAUCAAUAUCACCAACGGAGCACGACUCUGCUCUGGACCCACGUGGCCCUCACAAUGUUUUCAGUCAUUUGUUUUACAUGAGUGUGAAGGACAAUAUCCACAGUAUCCAUCCACAGUAUCCAUCCACAGUAUCCAUGGCUACACGUCAAACAGUUGCGCAAAGUGACCAUCGAUGGAUACAUCUAGCAACACACACUGAGCUCCAUCUAACAGUAACGCACACUGACCUCCAUCUAACAGUAACACACACUGAGCUCCAUCUAACAGUAGCACACACUGAGCUCCAUCUAACAGUAACACACACUGAGCUCCAUCUAACAGUAACACACACUGAGCUCCAUCUAACAGUAACACACACUGACCUCCAUCUAACAGUAACACACAUUGACCUCCAUCUAACAGUAACACACACUGAGCUCCAUCUAACAGUAACACACACUGAGCUCCAUCUAACAGUAACACACACUGAGCUCCAUCUAACAGUAACACACACUGAGCUCCAUCUAACAGUAACACACACUGAGCUCCAUCUAACAGUAACACACAUCGAGCUCCAUCUAACAGUAACGCACACUGAGCUCCAUCUAACAGUAACACACACUGAGCUCCAUCUAACAGUAACACACAUUGAGCUCCAUCUAACAGUAACACACACUGAGCUCCAUCUAACAGUAACACACACUGAGCUCCAUCUAACAGUAACGCACACUGACCUCCAUCUAAAAGUAACACACACUGAGCUCCAUCUAACAGUAACACACACUGAGCUCCAUCUAACAGUAACACACACUGAGCUCCAUCUAACAGUAACACACACUGAGCUCCAUCUAACAGCAACACACACUGAGCUCCAUCUAACAGUAACACACACUGAGCUCCAUCUAACAGUAACACACACUGAGCUCCAUCUAACAGUAACACACACUGAGCUCCAUCUAACAGUAACACACACUGAGCUCCAUCUAACAGUAACACACACUGAGCUCCAUCUAACAGUAACACACACUGAGCUCCAUCUAACAGCAACACACACUGAGCUCCAUCUAACAGUAGCAUACAGAGUAUCCAUGGCUACACAUCUAACAAUAACACACACUGAGCUCCAUCUAACAGUAACACACACUGAGCUCCAUCUAACAGUAACGCACAGAGUAUCCAUGGCUACACAUCUAACAAUAACACACACUGACAAUCCAGGGCAACAUCCAACAGUAACACACUGA
rnacentral:lncRNA from 1 species